rfam:Triticum aestivum genome assembly, contig: Triticum_aestivum_CS42_TGACv1_scaffold_406138_5BL
UUACUAUUUCCUCCGUCCGGAAAUACUUGUCGGAGAAAUGAAUGUAUCUAGACGUAUUUUGCUUCUAAGAUACAUUCAUUUUUGUUCAUUUUUUCGAUAAGUAUUUUCGGACGGAGGGAGUACGAA